rnacentral:rRNA from 1 species
CUACGGGAGGCAGCAGUGGGGAAUUUUCCGCAAUGGGCGAAAGCCUGACGGAGCAAUACCGCGUGAGGGAUGACGGCCUAUGGGUUGUAAACCUCUUUUUUCAGGGAGGAAUAAAUGACGUGUACCUGAAGAAUAAGCCACGGCUAAUUCCGUGCCAGCAGCCGCGGUAAUACGGGAGUGGCAAGCGUUAUCCGGAAUUAUUGGGCGUAAAGCGUCCGCAGGCGGUCUUGUAAGUCUGUUGUUAAAGCGUGGAGCUUAACUCCAUUUCAGCAAUGGAAACUGUAAGACUAGAGUGUGGUAGGGGCAGAGGGAAUUCCCGGUGUAGCGGUGAAAUGCGUAGAUAUCGGGAAGAACACCAGUGGCGAAGGCGCUCUGCUGGGCCAUAACUGACGCUCAUGGACGAAAGCCAGGGGAGCGAAAGGGAUUAGAUACCCCUGUAGUCCUGGCCGUAAACGAUGAACACUAGGUGUCGGGGGAAUCGACCCCCUCGGUGUCGUAGCCAACGCGUUAAGUGUUCCGCCUGGGGAGUACGCACGCAAGUGUGAAACUCAAAU